UACGGGGGGGGUAAGCGUUGUUCGGAAUUACUGGGCGUAAAGGGCUCGUAGGCGGCCAACUAAGUCAUACGUGAAAUCCCUCAGCUUAACUGGGGAACUGCGUGUGAUACUGGAUGGCUUGGAUGUGGGAGAGGGAUGCGGAAUUCCAGGUGUAGCGGUGAAAUGCGCAGAUAUCAGGAGGAACACCAGUGGCGAAGGCGACUACCUGGCCUGUUCUUGACGCUGAGGCGCGAAAGCUAGGGGAGCAAACGGG
rnacentral:rRNA from 1 species